rnacentral:rRNA from 1 species
UGGGGAAUUUUGGACAAUGGGCGAAAGCCUGAUCCAGCAAUGCCGCGUGUGUGAAGAAGGCCUUCGGGUUGUAAAGCACUUUUGUCCGGAAAGAAAUCCUUGGCUCUAAUACAGUCGGGGGAUGACGGUACCGGAAGAAUAAGCACCGGCUAACUACGUGCCAGCAGCCGCGGUAAUACGUAGGGUGCAAGCGUUAAUCGGAAUUACUGGGCGUAAAGCGUGCGCAGGCGGUUUGCUAAGACCGAUGUGAAAUCCCCGGGCUCAACCUGGGAACUGCAUUGGUGACUGGCAGGCUAGAGUAUGGCAGAGGGGGGUUAAAUUCCACGUGUAGCAGUGAAAUGCGUAGAGAUGUGGAGGAAUACCGAUGGCGAAGGCAGCCCCCUGGGCCAAUACUGACGCUCAUGCACGAAAGCGUGGGGAGCAAACAGGAUUAGAUACCCUGGUAGUCCACGCCCUAAACGAUGUCAACUAGUUGUUGGGGAUUCAUUUCCUAGUAACGUAGCUAACGCGUGAAGUUGACCGCCUGGGGAGUACGGUCGCAAGAUUAAAACUCAAAUGAA